UUUUGUUCUAAAGAUUGAAAUUAAUUAGAGGCUGCAGUAUAAGCAUGUUGAAGGCAUUUUUUAUAUUUUCUUUAGGGACUAUGUUUGGAGUCAUGCUUACUCGAAGGGCACAAAAUUUGUUUACAAUUGAAGGGAUUCGUAGACUUGCUUCUUCUAGCAAUGAUCCUAACAAUAAAGUUCUUGUAAGCCAUUCUACACUGGAGCAACAAAGCAAACCUUAAUAUAUAUAUAACAGUUGGAAAUGGAGAAAAUGACAAUGAAUUAUUAGCAUAGUUGAAUAUGCAGGAUUCAUAUGGUUAUUCAUGAAAAUGCUACGCGGUUGGUUUUGUAAAGGUUGAUCUUGUUUUUUUAUACAAAUAAGAUAUGCAAAAUAUUAUUGUACUAUAGAUAGGAUUUAUGUACACAAAUGUACAGUUUAUGAUAGAAUAAUUAAUAUGAUGUUAUUCAAACC
rnacentral:lncRNA from 1 species